rnacentral:RNase_P_RNA from 1 species
CGCACAGACCGCCUUAUCGCUGUUCGCCUUGGCGGAGAGAGGAAAGUCCGGACACCACAGAGAAGCAUAGCGGGUAACACCCGUCAUCCCGAUUUUUUUGGGAUAGGACAAGUGCAACAGAAAGUAUGUACAGGUAAUGCUGUAGUGAAACCAGGUAAACUCUAUGCGGUGAAAUACCAAGUAUAUCAGCAUUUAAGGAUUUCUCGUCCGUUGUUGAAGGGUAGGUAGCUCGAUCUUGUUGGUAACAACAAGGCUAGAUAAAUGAUAAGGUAAGGCUAGAUAAAUGAUAAGGUCUCGUCUUUUGGGACGAGAACAGAAUCCGGCUUAUAGGUCUGUUUUUUUU